AGUUACCGAGGUGCCGAAGGGAAACCGUGAAACGUGCCGCCUGGGAAGUACGGUCGCAAGGCUGAAACUUAAAGGAAUUGGCGGGGGAGCACCACAACAGGUGGAGCCUGCGGUUUAAUUGGACUCAACGCCGGGAAGCUCACCGGAUAAGACAGCAGAAUGAUUGCCGGGCUGAAGACUCUGCAUGACUAGCUGAGAGGAGGUGCAUGGCA
rnacentral:rRNA from 1 species